UGGGGAAUAUUGCACAAUGGGCGCAAGCCUGUUGCAGCGACGCCGCGUGGGGGAUGAAGGCCUUCGGGUUGUAAACUCCUUUCGCUAGGGACGAAGCCUUUUUGAGGUGACGGUACCUGGAGAAGAAGCACCGGCUAACUACGUGCCAGCAGCCGCGGUAAUCCGUAGGGUGCGAGCGUUGUCCGGAAUUACUGGGCGUAAAGAGCUCGUAGGUGGUUUGUCGCGUCGGCUGUGAAAUCCCGGGGCUUAACUUCGGGCGUGCAGGCGAUACGGGCAUAACUUGAGUGCUGUAGGGGAGACUGGAAUUCCUGGUGUAGCGGUGAAAUGCGCAGAUAUCAGGAGGAACACCAAUGGCGAAGGCAGGUCUCUGGGCAGUAACUGACGCUGAGGAGCGAAAGCAUGGGUAGCGAACA
rnacentral:rRNA from 1 species